rnacentral:lncRNA from 1 species
AAGAAGAAUAGAAAGAGAGGUGGAACAAUGAUAACCACAAUUUAUUAAAUUAUUUAUUUAAUAUUUCUUUUGAUAAAUAACUCUCAGCAGGUCACACAGGUUAAAUUGAAGGGUAAUAUAACAUUAUUACAUAAGAUACAUGUACCGUAGAUGAAAGUUAGGGGUUUUAGUUAUGUAAUGAAUUAUAAUUUGUUUGAAGGUUAUACAGCCUAAUUUCCCUAACUUUAAUCAUAUACAAAAAAAAAAAUUCUGUAGAAAAAAAAUAUCUAUCAUGCAUAUAUACAACGAAAUAAAGGGAUUGUACAUUCAGUUCAAUAAUUUAAACUUUUAAGUAUGCGAUAUAGAUUAUGCAGAAUGCACUUAGUCACCCACUUAAUGGAAAUCGUCAAGUCAGUAUGAGCUUGGUACCACUACCAACUAAAUAUAUCUGAGUCCACAUAAAAACACAAAUAAGGCACUAAAUGAUGAAAAUUAAUAAAGAACUAGAUUUUGACCCGCGCUUAAAAGCGCGGGUUAUUUUUCAGUUGAUAAAAGUAUAUGAUAUGAAUUAGUAUUUUAGUUUUGUUAUAUAUUAUUAUGUUACAAAAUUUUAUUAUGUCAAAAAAAAUUAUUAUUAUGUAAUUAUAUUUUUAAUCGUUUGAUUACUUUUUUCAAAAAAAAUUAUAUGGAUUGAUCAGAUUCAGUGCGUCUAUUAUUUUAAAAUAAAUUAUUUUCAAUUAGAUGAGAAUAAUACUUUUAUAUUAAGUUUGGACCCGUCGUCGAACCAGUAAACACGAUGACUUGUGCAUAAGCUGGUUUAGAUUUAAUGAAAACUCGUUAAUUUAAAGGAUGCAAACUUCGAAAAAACAUGCAAUCAAGUGUGACCCGGCAUUUGGUUUACAUGGUAGGAAAAAAAUAAUCUUCAAUAAUAUUUUAAGAGAUGAAUGAAACUUCUAAUAUAUUAAUGUAAUAAAAAAUAAUUUAACGUAAAUAUAUAUAAUUUUGUUUUAACAAAUGAUUUGCUAAAGUGUUUUUUAUUAAAUUUGAUUUUGUAAAUAUUUAAAAUUAUAUAAUCUAAGAUGACAUGAUAUAAUAUGCUGUAUGAUAUAUGCUUUCAUUUUAAUAAUUGAUAUCUAAAUAUUAUAUAUCCAUCUUUGAGCAUAAUAUAUGAUGUAUAUAACGUUAUUGAAUAACAACAAUAACACUGGAUGAUAAUAAAAAAAAUAAUUAGAGAAGUGUAUCAUACAAAAUGAGAAAUAAUAAUAGGAUUUAUUUAAAUUAUUUCAAUUAUUUAUAGUUAUUGUAGUUAAUGGUAGGAUAAAAAAUAAAGAGUUUUAUAUAGAUGUUAUAAAUUCUUUUAUAAAUAUUUUUAAAAAUAUUUUCUUUUAAUAAUAUAAAUUUUCAAUCGCAUCUAUAAUAUAUUCUUAUCAAAAAUCAUCAUAACAAUAUAUUUAGAAUAUAUAUAUUUAGAAUAUAUUGUUAAACUAAAUUAGAGAAAUAUAAGGUAAUUGAUUAUUGCAUAGUUAGAGAAAUAUAAGGUAAUUGACUAUUGCAUAGUUAGAGAAAUAUAAGGUGAGAUCAAAAAAAUAGUUAAGCCUAAUGAAAGGGUCCAACAACUUUUCAUAGGUAGAUUUUUUAAAACUCCUUCCCUUUUAAUAGUAUAGAUUUAGCUUGCUUUGUAAAUUUAUAAAAUAAAGAUAAGAUUAGUUUCGUUUGGU